CAGCCGCCGCGGGAAUACGUAGGGUGCAAGCGUUAAUCGGAAUUACUGGGCGUAAAGCGUGCGCAGGCGGUUAUGUAAGACAGUUGUGAAAUCCCCGGGCUCAACCUGGGAACUGCAUCUGUGACUGCAUAGCUAGAGUACGGUAGAGGGGGAUGGAAUUCCGCGUGUAGCAGUGAAAUGCGUAGAUAUGCGGAGGAACACCGAUGGCGAAGGCAAUCCCCUGGACCUGUACUGACGCUCAUGCACGAAAGCGUGGGGAGCAAACAGGAUUAGAUACCCGUGUAGUCCCUGUCUCUUAUAC
rnacentral:rRNA from 1 species